rnacentral:rRNA from 1 species
ACUCCUACGGGAGGCAGCAGUGGGGAAUAUUGCACAAUGGGCGCAAGCCUGAUGCAGCCAUGCCGCGUGUAUGAAGAAGGCCUUCGGGUUGUAAAGUACUUUCAGCAGUGAGGAAGGUUCAUACGUUAAUAGCGUAUGGAUUUGACGUUAGCUGCAGAAGAAGCACCGGCUAACUCCGUGCCAGCAGCCGCGGUAAUACGGAGGGUGCGAGCGUUAAUCGGAAUUACUGGGCGUAAAGCGCAUGCAGGUGGUUUGUUAAGUCAGAUGUGAAAGCCCGGGGCUCAACCUCGGAAUUGCAUUUGAAACUGGCAGACUAGAGUACUGUAGAGGGGGGUAGAAUUUCAGGUGUAGCGGUGAAAUGCGUAGAGAUCUGAAGGAAUACCGGUGGCGAAGGCGGCCCCCUGGACAGAUACUGACACUCAGAUGCGAAAGCGUGGGGAGCAAACAGGAUUAGAUACCCUGGUAGGAUAGCG